GGACCAAGGAGUCUAACAUGUGCGCGAGUCAUUGGGUCUUGAUUAGGCCCAAAGGCGUAAUGAAAGUGAAGGGCGGUUCGGCCGUCUGCCUUGGGAUCCCGUGGACCUCGCGUUCGCGGGCGCACCAAGGGCCCGUCCCGGUCGCCUCGUCGACGGGGCGGAGCAAGAGCGUACACGUUGGGACCCGAAAGAUGGUGAACUAUGCCUGGGCAGGACGAAGCCAGAGGAAACUCUGGUGGAGGUCCGCAGCGAUUCUGACGUGCAAAUCGAUCGUCAGACCUGGGUAGGGGCGAAAGACUAAUCGAACCAUCUAGUAGCUGGUUCCCUCCGAAGUUUCCCUCAGGAUAGCUGGCGCUCGGAGGAUGCAGUCUCAUCCGGUAAAGCGAAUGAUUAGAGGCCUUGGGGUCGAAAAGACCUCAACCUAUUCUCAAACUUUAAAUGGGUGAGAAGUCCGGUUUGCUCGACUGAAGCCCGGACGGCAACUUGGAUGCGAGUGCCAAGUGGGCCACUUUUGGUAAGCAGAACUGGCGCUGUGGGAUGAACCAAACGCCGGGUUAAGGGGCCCGAUGCGAGACGCUCAUGAGAUCCCAUGAAAGGUGUUGGUUGCUAUAGACAGCAGGACGGUGGCCAUGGAAGUCGGAAUCCGCUAAGGAGUGUGUAACAACUCACCUGCCGAAGCAACUAGCCCUGAAAAUGGAUGGCGCUUCAGCGUCGACCCCAUACCCGGCCGCCGCGGCCGAAAAGCCUCGUGUUUUAAGCCGCGGUGAGUAGGAGGGGCGCGGAGGCGAGCGUCGAAGGUGCCGGGCGUAAGCCCGCCUGGAGCCGCCUCCGGCGCAGAUCUUGGUGGUAGUAGCAAAUACUCAAGUGAGAACCUUGAGGACUGAGGUGGAGAAGGGUUCCAUGUGAACAGCAGUUGAACAUGGGUCAGUCGGUCCUAAGGGAUAGGAGAAAUCCGUUCCGAGGCGGGACCUCCUCAAAUGUUUUUGAAAGUCCCGCUGAUGACCGAAAGGGAAUCGGGUUAAUAUUCCCGAACCCGGACGCGGAGAUCGUCCUCUUCGGAGGUACAUUGCGGUAACGCAAACGAGCUCGGAGACGUCGACGGGAGCACCGGGAAGAGUUAUCUUUUCUUUGUAAGGAUUCGACUCCCUGGAAUCGGCUCGCCCGGAGAUAGGGAUGGUGUUUCCGUAAAGCACCGCGCCUCUUGCGGUGUCCGGAUCGCUCCCGUCGGCCCUUGAAAAUCCGAGUGAGAGAUAGUGAUUUUCGUGCC
rnacentral:rRNA from 1 species